CUUCAGCAUGCAUCUCCAACUAAUAAGGGCUUUCUUUUUUGACGUAGCCUUUGUAGUCAUUAGUAUUUAUUUAGUAACUGCUGGUAUUUAUUUAGCAUUUAGUAUAUAGUGCAAGGUAUUACGGUAAGACCCUUUACACAGUUUAUUUCAUGAAAUCUCAGCUCAGCAGAGAAACACCUUGGAAAUUCACAAACUCCCCAGGAGAAGGAAAUGCUCUGGCCUUGAGAACGUUGCUAUUUGCAUCUUACUCAUGAAGAAAACUGCUCAGCCAACUCAAGGUACGCUGUGGAAAGGCUGCAGUCCAGGAGCCGGCAGAGCUUGGAACAAAGGCAUGUCAGAGCCUGAUUGCUCCAUCACCCCUGGAUAUUCAGGUUCUCAUCCCUUUCUGCAAGAUUGCUACCUCGGUGUCUGUCUUGGACUCUCAUUGGCCUAGUUUGGAUGGGAUGCCCUCCUCAGGUCCAGUCAGCUGUGGCUGGACAUCGGGACAUGUUAUACAAAGGAUCUCCCAGGAGCUGCAGUUGUGGGUGAGGGCUACGCAUAAAGAAAGGGAUGGAUUUUGUAAACCAGGCCAGCAUCGUACACAGUGCCCACUGAAAAAUGAGCUGUAUUCAUACGUUUUGAUAAAUAUUCCCUCCACCUGG